UCUCUGAUAGUAUAUCGGUUAGUACACGCGCCUGUCAUGAUUUCCUGGCUUAGUUCUCGCGUGAAAGCUGGGUUCGACUCCCAGUCAGAGAG